AUUGAACGCUGGCGGCAGGCCUAACACAUGCAAGUCGAGCGGAUGAAAGGGGCUUGCUCCUGGAUUCAGCGGCGGACGGGUGAGUAAUACGCAGGAAUCUACCUAGGUAGUGGGGGAUAACGUUUCGAAAGGGGCGCUAAUACCGCAUACGUUCUGAGGGAAGAAAGGCAGGGGAUCGCAAGACCUUGCGCUAUUAGAUGAGCUUGCGUCCGAUUAGGCUAGUUGGUGGGGUAAAGGCCUACCAAGGCGACGAUCGGUAACUGGUCUGAGAGGAUGAUCAGUCACGACUGGAACUGAGACACGGUCCAGAC
rnacentral:rRNA from 1 species